CUCUUCGAUGUUCUGGGCUGCACGCGCGCUACAGUGGCAAAGACAGAGAGCAUGAAUUAAUUAUAGAGUCGCAUCGAGGGAUGUGACGAAUCAGCAAUCGUUGUCGUGAUUGGGAUUGAGCGUUGUAAUAUUUGCUCAUGAAAGAGGAAUUCCUCGUAAGCGCGAGUCACUAACUCGUGUUAAUUACGUCUCUGCCCUUUGUACACACCGCCCGUCGCUACUACCGAUUGAACUGGUUUUUGAAGUGUAGAGAUUGGCAGGCAUGGUUUACGUGCAUUGCAAAGAACCGCUCUGAAAAAAUCGUUCGAGAAGAAGUAAAAGUCGUAACA
rnacentral:rRNA from 1 species